UAUGUGCGUGGUUUUUAACCUUUCUC
rnacentral:piRNA from 1 species